AGAGUUUGAUCAUGGCUCAGAUUGAACGCUGGCGGCAUGCCUUACACAUGCAAGUCGAACGCGAAAGGGGGCAACCCCGAGUAGAGUGGCGAACGGGUGAGCAAUACAUCGGAACAUUUCCUGUAGCGGGGGACAACCCCGAGAAAUCGGGGCUAAUACCGCAUACGAUCUACGGAUGAAAGUGGGGGACCGCAAGGCCUCACACUAUAGGAGUGGCCGAUGCCGGAUUAGCUAGUUGGUGAGGUAAUGGCCCACCAAGGCUACGAUCCGUAGCUGGUUUGAGAGAACGACCAGCCACACUGGGACUGAGACACGGCCCAGACUCCUACGGGAGGCAGCAGUGGGGAAUUUUGGACAAUGGGCGAAAGCCUGAUCCAGCCAUGCCGCGUGAGUGAAGAAGGCCUUCGGGUUGUAAAGCUCUUUCGGCGGGGACGAAAUGGCGCGGACGAAUAUUCCGCGUCGAUGACGGUACCCGAAGAAGAAGGACCGGCUAACUACGUGCCAGCAGCCGCGGUAAUACGUAGGGUCCAAGCGUUAAUCGGAAUUACUGGGCGUAAAGCGUGCGUAGGCGGUUUCGCAAGUCCGAUGUGAAAUCCCCGGGCUUAACCCGGGAACUGCGUUGGAAACUACGAGGCUAGAGUGCGGCAGAGGGGGGUGGAAUUCCAGGUGUAGCAGUGAAAUGCGUAGAGAUCUGGAGGAACACCGAUGGCGAAGGCAGCCCCCUGGGUUAGCACUGACGCUCAUACACGAAAGCGUGGGGAGCAAACAGGAUUAGAUACCCCAGUAGUCC
rnacentral:rRNA from 1 species